CCUACGGGAGGCAGCAGUGAGGAAUAUUGGUCAAUGGACGAGAGUCUGAACCAGCCAAGUAGCGUGAAGGAUGACUGCCCUAUGGGUUGUAAACUUCUUUUAUAUGGGAAUAAAACAGGGUAUGCAUACCCUCUUGUAUGUACCAUAUGAAUAAGGAUCGGCUAACUCCAUGCCAUCAGCCGCGGUAAUACGGAGGAUCCGAGCGUUAUCCGGAUUUGUUGGGUUUAAAGGGAGCGUAGGUGGGUUGUUAAGUCAGUUGUGAAAGUUUGCGGCUCAACCGUAAAAUUGCAGUUGGAACUGGCAGUCUUGAGUACAGUAGAGGUGGGCGGAAUUCGUGGUGUAGCGGUGAAAUGCUUAGAUAUCACGAAGAACUCCGAUUGCGAAGGCAGCUCACUGGACUGCAACUGACACUGAUGCUCGAAAGUGUGGGUAUCAAACAGGAUUAGAUACCCCGAGUAGUC
rnacentral:rRNA from 1 species